rfam:Picea glauca, whole genome shotgun sequence.
UGAUAUGUGCAUACUAACAACAUUAAUGCAUUGGAUCCCAUUAGAACACUAUAGCUAAGAACCCUUGGUCUAGAGUAGUAAUGGGAUGGGGGACCUCCCAAGAAGCUAUAGUGUUUUACUUU